CGCGAAGAACGGUGCCUACUCUUGACAUCCAGAGAAAUUAGCAGAGAUGCUUUGGUGCCUUCGGGAACUCUGAGACAGGUGCUGCAUGGCUGUCGUCAGCUCGUGUUGUGAAAUGUUGGGUUAAGUCCCGCAACGAGCGCAACCCUUAUCCUUUGUUGCCAGCGGUCCGGCCGGGAACUCAAAGGAGACUGCCAGUGAUGAGAGUGGAGGAAGGUGGGGAUGACGUCAAGUCAUCAUGGCCCUUACGAGUAGGGCUACACACGUGCUACAAUGGCUAUAUUCUAAGAGAAGCGACCUCGCGAGAGCAAGCGGACCUCAUACCGCACCUAGUCCGGAUUGGAGUCUGCAACUCGACUCCAUGAAGUCGGAAUCGCUAGUAAUCGUGGAUUCAGAAUGCC
rnacentral:rRNA from 1 species